AAAAUAUUAGAAUGCACCAAAAUGGACAGGUUAACAAUGGAAAUAAAAGACAAGGGAGAAACAGAAUACUUGAAAAUUU